rnacentral:rRNA from 1 species
UAGUCCACGCCGUAAACGUUGGGCGCUAGGUGUGGGGGCCAUUCCACGGUCUCCGUGCCGCAGCUAACGCAUUAAGCGCCCCGCCUGGGGAGUACGGCCGCAAGGCUAAAACUCAAAGGAAUUGACGGGGGCCCGCACAAGCGGCGGAGCAUGUUGCUUAAUUCGAUGCAACGCGAAGAACCUUACCUAGGCUUGACAUGUGCGGAAAUCCUCCAGAGAUGGUGGGUCCGUAAGGGUCGCACAC